ensembl:lncRNA
CACAAUAGGAAAAAGUCUAUAUACAGUGUGUGCAAAUGAGCUCUUCAAUGACCUGUUCAAGAACAACGCCAACUGAUCGGAGAGAGCAGAGAAGAAACACAACCAGAACUACUUCAUGAAGAUGAUCACUGUGGAAGGGGUCUAUUUUAUGUACAGUAUGUGAAAAGUUAGAUGCACAAAUAUUAUACACCCCCAGUAAGUAUGGCACCCAGGGUAUUCAGUGCAGUACACUGCACAACAUAGUUUACCACAAUUCAUCAACAACUUUUAAGGGCUGUUUGACUGUACUGUAUGAUUUAAACAGAAGUAAACACAUUUCAGUUCAGUGAUGAAAAGACCAGAUUAGGAUGUGUCAGAGUUUGUAUUCAUUUGCGUCUAUUUUCCUCAGUUGACUGGACCUGGUUCUUUUAGAACUGUUUCCUGAACUGAACAAGCAAGGACAGCAGGAGACUGCUUCUAACAUGGCUCCAUGGACGUGGCAAGAGGAUUGUCAGGCUUUAGUCUCUGCUUCAUCUGCUGCAUGUUGUUGGAAUAAACUGUAUACAGCACUUAAACCACUCAUACCGCUGCACUUGUGAUAAUUUUUACUGAUUCAUAAAACAAUAAUACUGAAAAGGAUGUGACUGAACAUGAUUGUGAUAAUAAAAGAAAAACGUCUGAAGACUCAUUAAUCAAACUUGGUCGCUGCUUUUGUAAACUUCCCCAUAUUGUUUCUUGUCUGGCCUUG